GCUGGGGUCCGACCCAACCACUUGUUUGAAAAAGUGCGGAAGGGUUUGCAACAAGUUUGUCAAGGUGAAGAAAAUAAACAAGGGCUGCAGUGGAGAUGCUGCUGGAAAUGCUACUCCAGAAAUGUUGCUGCUGGCUUGUUCGCCAUGGGAAGACUGAAAGCAACAUGCCGUCUUAACCAAAGGAUGGGGCACAAACACCAGUGAAUGGAGACAGCACCUGGUUUUGUUCUCUGCGCCCCAGCACUGCCUGUUCAUCGGCCCCAAGCACUACCUCUGCCCCCAGUACUGACUGGUGAUCGGCGCCCAGCACAUCUCCCAUACUGAAUUAUAGUGCAGAAUUAGAAAAGAUCUCCAUGCAGGACCUGGGAAGCACUACCCUGGGCCAACCUCCAAGACCUACUCAACUGGCUUGCUCCUCAACGAUGCCAGCGUAGUAGCAGGGGUGUGAGAAGGGAGAAAAGAGCUGCAGACACAUCACUCGCAAAGGCAUUGCAAUGUCAUGCACCGAGCCACCAGCUUGUCCCAGAGGGUCCUGGCACCUAUAGCUGAUUUCAUGGAUGAACUCUCCCCAAAACUCUGGGAGAAAUUAGAUCACCAGCUGCAUGAGUUUGUGCAUGACUUCAAGAGUACAUGGCGCGAAUGACUGGGACCACAGUGAAAUUAACAACUUGUUCUGUUCAGACAUCUCAGGAGUCAGACACUAGACACUUGUUUACAUGUCUGUUCUCAGCAGACAUUUUGGUAUUGUGGUUUACUUUCAGAAGCAAGAAUAAAGUUAUAUUUGUGUG